rnacentral:rRNA from 1 species
GUGCCAGCCGCCGCGGUAAUACGGAGGGUGCAAGCGUUAAUCGGAAUUACUGGGCGUAAAGCGCACGUAGGCGGUAUGUUAAGUUGGAUGUGAAAGCCCCGGGCUCAACCUGGGAAUUGCAUUCAAAACUGGCAUGCUAGAGUAUGUGAGAGGGGGGUAGAAUUCCAAGUGUAGCGGUGAAAUGCGUAGAGAUUUGGAGGAAUACCAGUGGCGAAGGCGGCCCCCUGGCACAAUACUGACGCUCAGGUGCGAAAGCGUGGGGAGCAAACAGGAUUAGAUACCCCUGUAGUCC